GACAGAGGGUGCAAACGUUGUUCGGAAUUACUGGGCGUAAAGCGCGUGUAGGCGGUCUGCUAAGUCGGGUGUGAAAGCCCUGGGCUCAACCCAGGAAGUGCACUCGAAACUGGCAGGCUAGAGUACUGGAGAGGUUGGUGGAAUUCUCGGUGUAGAGGUGAAAUUCGUAGAUAUCGAGAGGAACACCGGUGGCGAAGGCGGCCAACUGGACAGAUACUGACGCUGAGACUCGAAAGCGUGGGGAGCAAACAGG
rnacentral:rRNA from 1 species